rnacentral:rRNA from 1 species
AUCGAACGCUGGCGGCAGGCCUAAUACAUGCAAGUCGAGCGGAGCGGCGGACGGGUAAGUAAUGCCUAGGAAUCUGCCUGGUAGUGAGGGAUAACGUCCGGAAACGGGCGCUAAUACCGCAUACUAGCAGAUGAGCCUCGGUCGGAUUAGCUAGUUGGUGGGGUAAAGGCCUACCAAGGCGACGAUCCGUAACUGGACUGAGAGGAUGAUCAGUCACACUGGAACUGAGACACGGUCCAGACUCCUACGGGAGGCAGCAGUGGGGAAUAUUGGACAAUGGGCGAAAGCCUGAUCGAGCAACGCCGCGUGAGUGAAGAAGGUCUUCGGAUCGUAAAGCUCUGUAAGUUGGGAGGCGGUACCAACAGAAUAAGCACCGGCUAACUACGUGCCAGCAGCCGCGGUAAUAC